CAAGUUCAGAAGAAAUUAACAUUUCAGAAAACAAAUUAACAUUUCAGAAAACAAAUUAACAUCACUCGAAACACUUUUACAAGUGGCAAAAUCAACCGGAAAGGGUAGGUACUAACUCCAAGGCUGACCCGGAAGUGAUAACGGAAGCGGGCAUUUCAACCCAAGAUGGACAGCAGUUCAGUGGCGUUUUGCCCGUUUUGCGGGGCACAUAUGAGUAGAUUAACGCGGUUUUGUUUUUCUUGUGGACGGUCCUUAGAGUUUUUAAAUGGGACAGAACAGACGGAAGGUCCAGAGGCACAGGGGAUAUGUCAACAGCCGGAUAAUGCUAAACAAACAGAAAAACCUUGCUCGUCAUAUAAACAGUUCCUGGAAUACCGAAGCUCGAAGUCCAAAGAGCGUCAGUCUUUUAACUACGGGCCUAGAGGAAGACACCGGGCUAAAGAACAAAAACACGUCCAGGUUUUUGAACUCCCAAAGAUAAGUCUGAAAAUGAAAGAGAUGCACUGGGACAUCAAGCUACAAUUCAGCCAGGACAGGUAAUGUCAUUUUCAGACGUUCAUCAUAUUCUGAAAACUGUGACAUGCUGGUCAGAUUUACCGAUGAUGCAGGUGUUUAUGAGGAAGGGAUUGACACAGGUGGUCCAAGAUGAGAAUUUUUUAACUCUGCUAAUGAAGCACCUGAAAGACCGGCCAAUUUUUGAUGGACCAGAGGGACAUCGGUUCUUGGUCUAUAAUGCAAAUGCUGUUAGGGAGGAUGAAUACUUCCUGGCAGGACAGAUGAUUGCAGUUUCAGUUGUACAUGGAGGUCCGGGACCCCAUUUCCUGUCAGAAGAUCUUGUACAGUAUCUUGCUGGCCAGCCUUCAUUCAAACCAACAGUUAAUUUAAUAACUGAUGAAGAAAUAGGGAAAGCUUUGCGAGAGGUGGGGAUAACAUAAAUCCAGUGUGGUAGGACAGAGUUUAACAUAGUUCCUGCACUGUUCAAUGAUGAUGUUUAGUUCCCACACAUAUACAUUUGCAGAAUUAUGAAUUUAUGGUAUUGUAGGGUUACAGCAUGCUAUAUAUGUCACUAAAUAAAAAUGGUCAAGAUUAACACAUAGUUAUUUAAUGUGUUGGGUAUGUCUCUUUGUCUUUCAGAUUGAGAAUGCUGCUACAUUGGAUGCUCUACAAGAAUGUAUCAUGAGACACAGCACAAUGUUGCAGACAGCAGGCUGUCUUAGACAUGUGGCUGCUGUGGACGAAAAGACAGAAAUUGUGGCCAACUACCUCCAGUGGUAUAUUUUUGACCGCAACUCAUCUGUAAUUGACAGUGUGUUCACUUUGUAGAUUCAAAGAUGGUCUUUCAGCUCUUCAGUUCCUGACUGCACUACAGCAACACCCUACUUUGCUGACCCCUGUCCUGUGCCACUGUGAAAAGCGACUGACUGCCUUUGAGCUUGAGAGACUCUUCAAACCUCAACUCAGCCCUUCAGGGAGUAAUAGGAGACUGAAAGAAAGCCAAACCUUGGCCUGCUGGGCAGACUAUCUCCUUGAUUGUGAAGAAGGCGAGGCUGCUGUGUCUGUGGAAGACAUUUUGAUGUUUGCAACUGGGCUGACAUCACUUCCCCCAUCUGGCUUGGAACCACUGCCACAAAUAGAGUUCCUGGAUGACGUUCCACUCCCAAUGGCAAAUACAUGUUCAAACUUGUUGAAAUUACCAUUUCUGGAUUCAUAUAGUGUGUUUAAUUCACAAAUGGACUUU